UAAGUAUAUGAAUAAACGGAUUUAGAGAAUGUCAAGGACUUGCUUAAGGCCACACCACUUGGCGUCUGUCGUUUCAAAACUCCAUGCAAGGCGAUGCUAAGCUCCUUCAGGAUGAUGUUUCUCAGACUUACUUUCUCCCAUGGAUGGGCUCUGAACCAGACUGCUUAGAUCAAAACCACUUGCUGGUUCGUAGCACGAAGAAAGAUUCUUAAUCUCUGUCCUUCAACUUCUCACGUGCAAAAACGGAGCUGAUGAUAACGGUAGCUACCUCAUAGGAUUCUUUGGUGAUGCAAUAAAUUAAUGGCUAUAAAUUACUUGGCUCAAUCCUGGAACGCACAGGGUUCCAGAAAGACUUGUUGUUAUUAUUAGCACCGUUUAUUAUUAUUACUGCUGUUGCUACAAUCUGCACCCAGAACAGCUCAUAAUAGAGGCAAAAAUCAACCCUCCUAGGUAAUCGCACCAACAGGCUGCUCUACAAUAUAUGAAUUGACGUCUGGCUUCAGGAGGAAUACUCGAUUCACGUCUCAAAAUAAUGUGGCGCCGUGUAUCCAGAAAUGAAUAAAGGGCUUUCCUACUUUGGGGACUCAGUCUAACGUGCUGGGUCUUACCCUUUUGGAGGUCGGAGCGUUGGACGACGGUGACCGACCCUUGCGUGCACAAGGCCCUUUGCAACAUUCCAGUCACGGUGGGUCUUUUCGAGGCGGGCCUCGGAAGUCACGGUUAGCGCCCACCUCCUCUACGACAGGCCUUCUGCCAGGCACCGUACAUCCAGGGGCUCGUGCAAUCCUCAUAAUCACCCGAACGCGGAGAAAACCGAAGUUCACAGAACGAAGUGUCUUUCUCAAGGUCACUUAGUACGCAUGAUACUUGCGCUGUUUCCGGGGCCAUUUCCCCUGUGCCUCCUUUGCCAGUGCCUGUUGACUAUCAGUUUAAGCACCCUUCAAGGUGAAAUUGCUUCGAAACCCCUUCCACGGUUUGACAGCCUACAUUCAAGCCUUUUAGCAUAAUUGGGGAAGUCAGUGGGCGGGUGAUUCUAGCUUGCUGUAGUAGAAGCCAGUAAGCCAUCUACUUAUCAUUCUGUUGGCGAAGUUUCUCCGCUUUCUUUCCUCUCGAUAACACAGCAGGAUGUCAUUUGCAAGGAUGCCAAUCCCCACACGGUUCCUGCACCUAACUUGCGACAUCAGUCACCGACUGGUUGUGAGAAACGCCCCCGUUGUAUAAAUGAGCCCCUCCCCUUUGACACCUAAAUUGUCUUCGUGCCUGUUCUACACGUCGGAGGGCGCAGAGAGGGCUUUCCAAUUUCACACCCCUAAUCCAAUUUCCCAGACACGGCGGUUCCUAAGUUUGACAGCGGAAGAGGAAGGACUCCACCGCUCCCCAGAGUGGACCUGCAACCCUGGCGUGUGCCACAGAGAUCCCAUUUUCAGGACCAGCCAUCCUCCUUCCUCUGCACACACACAGAAAGUAGAAGGGGGUAAUUAUCCCCCAGGAGCACCUUAAUUGUUCCAAUUAACCUGACCACUUUUUGCAAUCAAAGCCAGGCGGAGAAGAGGAAUUAAAGUGAUCAAACACCGUUUUAUGGGCCGUGGGUAAGUAAGAGACAAGGCAGGGCACUUUCUCUGAAGGACGGGCUCUGAAACGACAUAGGCUUGCACUCAGGGAUUUUUCUACCACCAUUACCGAAAAGAAAAAUGACAUCUUAGCAGCUUGUAAUUCUGCCAUCACUGUGCCUUUCUUUCAUAACACACAGCACAUGACCACAAUUAUCCACGCUCGUUUAAGCUGUCUGUGGAAGCACUCUGUGAGCGGGACUGUUUAACUGCUUUCUCGGGCAGGCAAGCCUGGCUUUGAACCCCCGUUCUAAAACUAACGCGCGCUCCAGUACUGGACAAGCAAGGAAACGCUGCGGAACCUCACCAUCCCGAGCUACGAGGUGGGCACCGGCCCCACAUUCUAGACGAUGGAAGUGACUCUUCAGUGAACUGAAGUUACCUUCCCACAUUCACGUUUGAGCUUGUUUCAGGUGUAUAAUAUGGUGAUUCAACAAUUCCGUACAUUCCUCAGCGCUCAUCAGGAUGACGCAGAGGUCCUAUGGAAAAGUGGAGUCAAAACAUGGAAGCAACCUAGAUUCCCGAGUCAUCGUGUGGAAGACCGCUCUGCCAAACACCAACAGCAACAUUGGACUGACACACGAGUGAAAAAUAAGUUUCGGUUGAUUUUGGUCAAUGGGACUUUGGGGUUUAUUUAUCCCAGCAAUUAACGCUAUCCGAAUUAACACGUGAAAUUAAUCAAGUGGUUGCCCUGAGCUUCCGUUUUCUCAUCUCCAAUAUGAUCAUCAAAAAACUUUAGGUGGAAAAAGAAACUCUUUCCACCCCCCUCAUUGGUUCCUAUGUGCCCACUCAGGGAAUCGAGAGUUAGUAAGGACUGUAG